rnacentral:misc_RNA from 1 species
CCUGUUGUCCUGAUCCGUGGGAGCGGUACCACCUCGGGGGUCCUCUUCUAGUGGCAGAGACCACAGUGCGCAAAGGCUGUGGUUGCUCAGCUACAGUCACUCUUUCACUCUUCACAGCAAACAAAGGCUCGCCACGCGGAUGCGAUCGUCUUGCGCUACUGGUGCACUGCUAAGCUCAGUGAUCGUGCAGCACUCCUCCUCUCCCACCUACGCCACAGCCCGCCUCUACACCUCCAACUUCGGCAAGGCUAAAGCAGACGCCGAGCCAUUGGACGCCGAGCAGCCCUCUGAGAACUCGGACAGGGCAUCAAAGGGACCGUUAUCCUCCUCCGCCCCGUCGCAGCCGCAGCAGCGAUACCGGCGGCGCUCCUCUGACCCGCAAACACCGCGGGAAAGGGCCGACUUUCGGCGCGACUACAAGUACGCAAAGCAUCGCCCCCUCCCAGAUGCUCCGUGGCGACAACUGAAGACGAAAACGUACCUUGACGACGCGGAGCGUCUAUAUGGUCGCAAAGAGACUUGGCACACCGUCGAGGACGCUACUCUGCGGGAAAAGCUGGUUGCCAUUCUGCAGGAUUAUCUGCGUGACACCCUUGCGGCUGCUCGCCUAGAGGCCAAGGAUGCCCGCAAGUACGCCUUUCUGUGCUCCACCGCAGCGAAGCACUACCGCGCUCACGUUUCUUCUGGGGCCUUUGGGCUGCCAGAAGGCUUGCAGGAGUGGGCACGGGGCGUGGUAGCCGGGCGUGCCUCCUCACCCUCCGCCGCAAAAUUGUCCACAACGCUGUCGACGACUCCUGAGAUGGAAGAGGUCGACGCACAUGCGGAGGAGGUGCCACAAGAAACGGGCGCCUCUUUUGCGCCGUCGCAUGCAGCCGCGGCAGACGAGCACCACGACGAUUCUGCUGCUGCUUUUCCUUCCCAAGAGGAACGUGACGCUGCUCGGUUUCGCGAGGAGCGUCGGCGUCGCGGUGCCGAGGCGAACCUGGCAAAUACCGUUGCCAUGGCAGGCCUGCCUGAUGCUGACAGUCGGCACUCACCCCACUCUGCCUUUCCUUUCCUCCGGCAACGCGCGGUGGAGAAGGAGGCCACCCUCGAUCCAUCCUUGGUUGACUGGACGGCCAAGUACUUCUCUGAGGAUGACGCUAGCACGUUCGCGGAGCCGCCACGGCUUCGUGCGGGCAUGGUAGAAGACGAGGAGGGAAGUGUAUCCGAUCGGGAAGCAACCGGAGACGGCCGACAGGAGGAAGGCGCUUCGCCUCUUGGGAUACUCGGUGCCGUCAAAGGCAGACGCCCGUCAGGCUUUGCGCCGCCGACGUUACCUGUGGCUCACCGCUCUGCCUCAAUGCACGCACGUCACCGUCUGGGGCGUACGCUGCGCGACCACGAAAACCGUCAUCGCGCCACCUUCGAUGCCGAGGGCAUCUACUACAAGGUUCGCCGACAGAGCGAGGUCGAGGAGCGUGCGCCGAAGCCACAGCAGGUGAGGGCCUCCGACUUGGAGACGCUCGGCAGGCAGGUCGACGUGGUGAAGGUGCCAUGGAGUGUGGCAGCCAAAGCAAAGGCACAGGGAUACUCGAGUGACACGCUGCGGGCGAAGGAGCGGCUGAUUCGACUCACCCGCGGUGAAGACCCUGAAACAAUUCCAUAGGGCCGAACCAGCGAGGCGAUCAGAGUAGUGGGAGACAAAAGAAGGAGGGGGAGGGCUGGUGGGGAACGGUGCUGCUACCCCUUCUUCUCCCGCCUCUCGACAAAUUCCCACGCCACCCUACCCCCUGCAUCACCUUGCCCUUCUUCACCCGAAACGCAAACCCUGACAGACGGUGCCUUUCGAGCACUCUGAUGCAUUCAGACUGAAGGAAGAAAACGAAAACAGCAACAGCCGCCCUGCAUCCGGGGGCCCUGUGCCCGUCUGCUCUCCUCGUCCGUGUGAAAGGCUGGCACAUACCGGACGCGCGCGUGUGUGGAAGCUACCGCAGCAGCAGUUAGGGGGAGAGCAGGUGUGUGCGAGGGGUUAAUUUCUGCCUCAGUUGUACAGGUUCGGAUUCCCAUCAGCUUAACACAAGAAUUGCGACAACAGCAAUGCCAAAAAGUAGGGCAGGAGAGUUGAAGGACAAGGAGGCGUAUGCGUGCGUUGCAUUGUUUCUUUCUUUGGGAGGGGAGGGGAGGGGAGGGGGGUGUGGUAGCGCGGUGAAAAAUGAUGAAUGGAUCCGACAUCGGCUUCUCACCCGACCUCACCACAUAGGAGACAUGACAUGCCGCGCCACGCUCUUUCCGGUCAAAGCGUUGCACCUGCUCGAGUUGGCGACGUGUGCCUCACCCCCCUCCACGCCCUCGAUGGACCUCGUCGCACCCUAGCACAGCGUUCGUCUGCUCACCUCCUUCAUGCCGACGUGCUCCUUGCAGAACUCAAACGCGAGGUGCGAUGAAUGCAGUACCCACGCUGACGCCCACGGUGUCGGAGGCUGCUCUGACUCACUUGACCUCUUCCGUUUCUCUCUCAUGUUUACUUCUUGUGUUUCCUUUAACACCGUUUCUCCGUGAGGCAAG